UAGAGUUGACUUUACAGUGAGAGCACGUAUUUCUAGGAGCCGGGGGUCAGGGUAUUUAAUUUAAUGUUUUUAUUGAGCAGUUUAGUAAUUGAAUAUUCAUGGUUAAACAGGCAUCAGAGGCCAAACUGAACCACAGGAGGGACCUUCAAGAGGUCCAGCUAGCUCGGACCAGCAGCAGUCGAGUGUGCAGGAAUCCACCACCAGGCCAUCUCCUAGCUCCCACGCUAUUUCCAAGCUGUAGGAUUUCUUGUAACCUACUUAAAUUCUUGUAAACAAUUAGUAACUGCUCUGAUAUCUGGUUGAAAUAGAUAACCAGAACUGGUGAAUAUUUAGUUACCCUUUUCUGGCAGUUGGUGUGGAUUUAUCAGUUUGUUUGACAGGUGGAAAAAUUUGGGUUUAG